UAGGGAAUCUUCGGCAAUGGGGGCAACCCUGACCGAGCAACGCCGCGUGAGUGAAGAAGGUUUUCGGAUCGUAAAGCUCUGUUGUAAGAGAAGAACGUGUGUGAGAGUGGAAAGUUCACACAGUGACGGUAACUUACCAGAAAGGGACGGCUAACUACGUGCCAGCAGCCGCGGUAAUACGUAGGUCCCGAGCGUUGUCCGGAUUUAUUGGGCGUAAAGCGAGCGCAGGCGGUUUAAUAAGUCUGAAGUUAAAGGCAGUGGCUUAACCAUUGUUCGCUUUGGAAACUGUUAAACUUAAGUGCAGAAGGGGAGAGUGGAAUUCCAUGUGUAGCGGUGAAAUGCGUAGAUAUAUGGAGGAACACCGGUGGCGAAAGCGGCUCUCUGGUCUGUAACUGACGCUGAGGCUCGAAAGCGUGGGGAGCAAACAGG
rnacentral:rRNA from 1 species